rnacentral:rRNA from 1 species
GAUGAACGCUGGCGGCGUGCCUAAUACAUGCAAGUCGAGCGAACAGAUGAGGAGCUUGCUCCCCUGACGUUAGCGGCGGACGGGUGUGUAACACGUGGAUAACCUACCUAUAAGACUGGGAUAACUUCGGGAAACCAGAGCUAAUACCGGGUCAUCUAUUGAACCGCAUUGUUCAAUAGUAAAAGACGGUUUUUCUGUUACUUAUAGAUGGUUCCGCGCCUAAUUAGCUAGUUGGUAAGGUAACGGCUUACCAAGGCAACGAAGCGUAGCCGCCCUGAGGGGGUGAUCGGCCACACUGGAACUGGGACACGCUCCAGACUCCUACGGGAGGCAGCAGUAGGGAAUCUUCCGAAAUGGGCGAAAGCCUGACGGAGCAACGCGGCGUGAGUGAUAAAGGUCUUCGGAUCGUAAAACUCUGUUAUUAGGGAAGAACAAAUGUGUAAGUAAAUAUGCACGUCUUGACGGUACCUAAUCAGAAAGCCACGGCUAACUACGUG